CUUCACCGAGCCCAGCCGGAGCGGACGCUCCCGCGGCUCCCGCCCGUACGUCGCCAGAAACGCCUCCGCCUC
rfam:Streptomyces cyaneogriseus subsp. noncyanogenus strain NMWT 1, complete genome.